rnacentral:piRNA from 1 species
UGUGGUGUCACUUGCGUACUUCUUGUCUC